GUGAGGAAUAUUGGUCAAUGGGCGAGAGCCUGAACCAGCCAAGUCGCGUGAAGGAAGAAGGAUCUAUGGUUCGUAAACUUCUUUUGCAGGGGAAUAAAGUGCAGGACGUGUCCUGUUUUGUAUGUACCCUGAGAAUAAGGAUCGGCUAACUCCGUGCCAGCAGCCGCGGUAAUACGGAGGAUCCGAGCGUUAUCCGGAUUUAUUGGGUUUAAAGGGUGCGUAGGUGGUUUGAUAAGUCAGCGGUGAAAGUUUGCAGCUUAACUGUAAAAAUGCCGUUGAAACUGUCGGACUUGAGUGUAAAUGAGGUAGGCGGAAUGCGUGUUGUAGCGGUGAAAUGCAUAGAUAUCACGCAGAACUCCGAUUGCGAAGGCAGCUUACUAAGCUACAACUGACACUGAAGCACGAAAGCGUGGGGAUCAAACAGGAUUAGAUACCCGGGUAGUCC
rnacentral:rRNA from 1 species